rnacentral:rRNA from 1 species
UAAGCCUGGGAAACUGGGUCUAAUACCGAAUAGGACCACGCAUUUCAUGGUGUGUGGUGGAAAGCUUUUGCGGUGUGGGAUGGGCCCGCGGCCUAUCAGCUUGUUGGUGGGGUAAUGGCCUACCAAGGCGACGACGGGUAGCCGGCCUGAGAGGGUGACCGGCCACACUGGGACUGAGAUACGGCCCAGACUCCUACGGGAGGCAGCAGUGGGGAAUAUUGCACAAUGGGCGCAAGCCUGAUGCAGCGACGCCGCGUGAGGGAUGACGGCCUUCGGGUUGUAAACCUCUUUCAAUAGGGACGAAGCGCAAGUGACGGUACCUAUAGAAGAAGGACCGGCCAACUACGUGCCAGCAGCCGCGGUAAUACGUAGGGUCCGAGCGUUGUCCGGAAUUACUGGGCGUAAAGAGCUCGUAGGUGGUUUGUCGCGUUGUUCGUGAAAACUCACAGCUUAACUGUGGGCGUGCGGGCGAUACGGGCAGACUAGAGUACUGCAGGGGAGACUGGAAUUCCUGGUGUAGCGGUGGAAUGCGCAGAUAUCAGGAGGAACACCGGUGGCGAAGGCGGGUCUCUGGGCAGUAACUGACGCUGAGGAGCGAAAGCGUGGGGAGCGAACAGGAUUAGAUACCCUGGUAGUCCACGCCGUAAACGGUGGGUACUAGGUGUGGGUUUCCUUCCUUGGGAUCCGUGCCGUAGCUAACGCAUUAAGUACCCCGCCUGGGGAGUACGGCCGCAAGGCUAAAACUCAAAGGAAUUGACGGGGGCCCGCACAAGCGGCGGAGCAUGUGGAUUAAUUCGAUGCAACGCGAAGAACCUUACCUGGGUUUGACAUGCACAGGACGCCGGUAGAGAUAUUGGUUCCCUUGUGGCCUGUGUGCAGGUGGUGCAUGGCUGUCGUCAGCUCGUGUCGUGAGAUGUUGGGUUAAGUCCCGCAACGAGCGCAACCCUUGUCUCAUGUUGCCAGCACGUUAUGGUGGGGACUCGUGAGAGACUGCCGGGGUCAACUCGGAGGAAGGUGGGGAUGACGUCAAGUCAUCAUGCCCCUUAUGUCCAGGGCUUCACACAUGCUACAAUGGCCGGUACAAAGGGCUGCGAUGCCGUGAGGUGGAGCGAAUCCUUUCAAAGCCGGUCUCAGUUCGGAUCGGGGUCUGCAACUCGACCCCGUGAAGUCGGAGUCGCUAGUAAUCGCAGAUCAGCAACGCUGCGGUGAAUACGU